rnacentral:rRNA from 1 species
AUUGAACGCUGGCGGCAGGCCUAACACAUGAAAGUCGAACGAGUGGCGGACGGGUGAGUAAUGUCUGGGAAACUGCCUGAUGGAGGGGGAUAACUACUGGAAACGGUAGAUAAUACCGCAUAACAUCAGAUGUGCCCAGAGGGGAAUAGCUGGUUGGUGGGGUAACGGCUCACCAAGGCGAAGAUCCCUAGCUGGUCUGAGAGGAUUACAAGCCACACUGGAACUGAGACACUGUCCAGACUCCUACGUGAGGCAGCAGUGGGUAAUAUUGCACAAUGGGCGCAAGCCUGAUGCAGCCAUGCCGCAUGUAUGAAGAAGGCCUUCGGGUUGUAAAGUACUUUCAGCGAGGAGGCGUUACCCGCAGAAGAAGCACCGGCUAACUCCGUGCCAGCCGCCGCGGUAAUUC